UUUCCAUUACUGCUUGCUUGAUAUUGCCCUAACAACUUUUUCAUGAAUCAAUUUUGAGCAUUAUGUUUACAACGUAGUUAUUAUAGCACGAAAUAUGAGUCUAAAAUGCCAAAUACUUGCAACUAUUAUGUUAAUCACUGAAAUCUUAGUGUACUAAUUGCUCGCUAUAAGCUAGGUUAUUGCGCCCCUAAACCAACGUACUGACAACGCUACCUCCCCGGAACUCAAACUUUAACUGGGCAUGACUUGGUACAUCCAGUGACCCAGCAAAAAGUAGCCUCGGUACAGCCAGAAGUAGCAACAAAUCGCAAAAGGGGAUCCUUGUCUGACUGGUGGCUGGACCACAUGACACUUGUUGGAAAAGGAAGGACCAAAGGUGCCAUCGUCGAGGGCCCAGAUAGAUGAAGAGAUUGAAGCCUGGGCUGCACACAAUCCUAAAAUCUAGGAAGAAGUCGCCACCCACUGAUGAUCUCAUCCAAGUUUACCAAAGACUCCAAAGCAGUGUAGGAGAGGAAUGGUGGCCUGUUCGAACAGGCAUGGACUGAAUCGCCAGCUCUCAUCUCCCUAGUCACUCCGAUGGCCACGUGUCGCUCCUCGAUCAACAGCGAUUUCAAUGAAUGAUGCGUUGAUGUGGGCAAAAAGUGAAUCCUUUCUCGCCUUUGAACUCUGGUGUUCGUCGUAUCAAUCCAUUUUGAUUGUCGAGCAACUUGUGGGCACACCUCAACUUGUUAGUGGGAAGUAAUUUGCAAUAGAGUGACUUACUUUUAUUGCUAUAUUUUAUUGUAUUUUUUCACUUCACAUCAUUGUUAUUUUGAAAAAUCCUGCCAAAAUUCUGUUGACUGUUUGUUGUCGACAAUAGUCUAUGUUUCAUGAAUA